GAUGAACGCUAGCGGCAGGCCUAAUACAUGCAAGUCGAGGGGUAGCAAGAUUGUAGCAAUACAAUUGUUGACGACCGGCAAACGGGUGCGGAACACGUACACAACCUUCCUACAAGUGGGGAAUAGCCCAGAGAAAUUUGGAUUAAUACCCCGUAACAUAGCGAUGUGGCAUCACAUUGCUAUUAUAGCUUCGGCGCUUGUUGAUGGGUGUGCGGCUGAUUAGAUAGUUGGCGGGGUAACGGCCCACCAAGUCUACGAUCAGUAGCUGAUGUGAGAGCAUGAUCAGCCACACGGGGACUGGGACACGGGCCCGACUCCUACGGGAGGCAGCAGUAAGGAAUAUUGGACAAUGGACGCAAGUCUGAUCCAGCCAUGCCGCGUGAAGGAUUAAGGUCCUCUGGAUUGUAAACUUCUUUUAUAAGGGACGAAAAAAGGUCUUUCUAGAUCGUCUGACGGUACCUUAUGAAUAAGCACCGGCUAACUCCGUGCCAGCAGCCGCUGUAAGAC
rnacentral:rRNA from 1 species